rnacentral:sRNA from 1 species
UGAACCCAUCGGAGGUUCCGGGUUCGGGG